UACGAAGGGUGCUAGCGUUGUUCGGAAUUACUGGGCGUAAAGCGUGCGUAGGUGGCUUAUCAAGUCAGGGGUGAAAUCCCACAGCUUAACUGUGGAACUGCCUUUGAAACUGAUAAGCUAGAGUCUUGGAGGGGAUAGCGGAAUUGCUAAUGUAGAGGUGAAAUUCGUAGAUAUUAGCAGGAACACCGGUGGCGAAGGCGGCUAUCUGGACAAGCACUGACACUCUGGCACGAAAGCGCGGGGAUCAAACAGGA
rnacentral:rRNA from 1 species